AGUGAACGCUGGCGGUAGGCCUAACACAUGCAAGUCGAACGGCAGCACAGUAAGAGCUUGCUCUUACGGGUGGCGAGUGGCGGACGGGUGAGGAAUACAUCGGAAUCUACUUUUUCGUGGGGGCAAACGUAGGGAAACUUACGCUAAUACCGCAUACGACAUACGGGUGAAAGCAGGGGAUCUUCGGACCUUGCGCGAUUGAAUGAGCCGAUGUCGGAUUAGCUAGUUGGCGGGGUAAAGGCCCACCAAGGCGACGAUCCGUAGCUGGUCUGAGAGGAUGAUCAGCCACACGGGAACUGAGACACGGUCCAGACUCCUACGGGAGGCAGCAGUGGGGAAUAUUGGGCAAUGGGCGCAAGCCUGAGCCAGCCAUACCGCGUGAGUGAAGAAGGCCUUCGGGUUGUAAAGCCCUUUUGUUGAGAAAGAAAAGCGGCAGGUUAAUACCCCGCUGUUCUGACGGUACCCAAAGAGUAAGCAACGGCUAACUUCGUG
rnacentral:rRNA from 1 species